UACGGGGGGGGCAAGCGUUGUUCGGAAUUACUGGGCGUAAAGGGCUCGUAGGCGGCCAACUAAGUCAGACGUGAAAUCCCUCGGCUCAACCGGGGAACUGCGUCUGAUACUGGAUGGCUUGAAUCCGGGAGAGGGAUGCGGAAUUCCAGGUGUAGCGGUGGAAUGCGUAGAGAUCGGGAAGAACAUCGGUGGCGAAGGCGGCCUGCUGGGCUCUUGCUGACACUGAUGCGCGACAGCGUGGGGAGCAAACAGG
rnacentral:rRNA from 1 species